AUCAAAUGUUAUUAGUCACAUGCUCCGAAUACCAUGCAGUGAAAUGCUUACUUACCAGCCCCUAACCAACAAUGCAGUUGAAUUGUUUUAUAUAUAAUAUAUACGAAAUAAAAGUUACAAGUAAUUAAAGAGCAGCAGUAAAAUAACAAUAGCGAGACUAUGUACAGGGGGGUACCGGUACAGAGUUAAUGUGAAGGGGCACCGGUUAGUCGAGGUAAUUGAGGUCAUAUGUACAUGUAGGUAGAGUUAUUAAAGUGACUAUGCAUAGAUGAUAACAACAGAGAGUAGCAACAGUGUAAAAGAGGGGGAGGGGAGCAAUGCAAAUAGUCUGGGUAGCAUUUUGAUUCGAUUUUCAGGAGUGUUAUGGCUUGGGGGUAGAAGCUGUUAAGAAGCCUCUUGGACCUACAGUAGACUUGGCGCUCCGGUACUGCUUGCCGUGCGGAAGCAGAGAGAACAGUCUAUGACUAUGACUAUGACUAGGGUGGCUGGAAUCUUUGACAGUUUUUAAGUCCUUCCUCUGACAACGCCUGGAAAACAGGUCCUGGAUGGCAGCAAGCUUUGCCCCAGUGAUGUACUAGGAAGCCGAGCAGUUGGCAUACCAGGCAGUGAUGCAACCAGGAUGCUUUCCAUUAUGCAGCUGUAAAACCACCAUAGUCCCUGUGCCCAAGAACACUAAGGUAACCUGCCUAAAAGACUACCGACCCGUAGCACUCACAUCUGUAGCCAUGAAGUGCUUUGAUAGGCUGGUCAUGGCUCACAUGAACACCUUUAUCCCAGAAACCCUAGACCCAGUCCAAUUUGCACACCGCCCUAACAGAGUACCAGAACCUCCAGGACGUGUUCAGCAAGGCCCGGGCCACUUUGCUUCUGCCGCACUGACCCAAUGACUGCGGGAUUGACCUUCUCCCUAGCACCACACCGCCCCAGGGACGCUUGUACUCUCUGUCAGGACUGGAGCCCGCAACACCCUUCCCUGCUCUGCCACCGACCUAUCACCAUUUGAGUGUUCCCUGGGAUAUCAGCCCCCGCUCUUCCCUGAGCAGGAAGAAGAGGUUGGUAUACCUUCUGCCCAGAUGUUUGUCCGCCGCUGUCAUCGUACCUGGAGGAGAGCCCAGUCGGCCCUGAGUACGGUCACUGUAGGGACAAUUUCAUCGAUGCACUUAAUGAUGAAGCCAAUGACUGAUGUGGUGUACUCCUCAAUGCCAUCUGAGGAAUCCUGGAACAUAUUCCAGUCUGUGCCAGCAAAACAGUCCUGUAGCUUAGCAUCUGCUUCAUCUGACCACUUUUUUAUUGAUUUGAAGACGUUUCAUGAUUUACUGUGCUGUAAUGUAAUCUAAGCUAAUAGGAGAAAGAUUUGCAUAUUCAUAAUGGCCCAGAUCAACAUGCCACAUUUACAGUCCUCUUGGACAGUACAGUUACCAAAUUGAAGCUGAUGAUUCAGGAGCUCAAGAGGAUGGGGCGAAAGAAGGUGUGGAAAUGCCAAUGGUUUGAACCGAUAUUUCUAAAGCCAGGCAGCAAUCUCACAGAGUCGGACUGGUUGCAGAAUCUGUGUCGCAUCCUGGAGCACCUGUCAGCCAAGGAGAUCAAGAGGCUUAAGUUUCUAGUCAGAACCUCAAAGGAACUCCCACAGCCCAGUAUCUCCAGCCAUGACCUGGGUUGCUUGGAGGAGCUUCACGAUCUUGCAGAGCUAAUGGUAAAGAGCUGGGGGAUGAAUGGCUCCAUUUCAGCCACUCAAUUGCUCAUGAAAGAACUGCCACGCAAAGACGAAACAGUGACAUCCUUGCUGAUGCCCUUCCUGGAGCAAUGUGUGGCGCUAAAGGGGGCGUGAGAGUCAGUGGUGUGAACAGCCUUAAAGGACCUUGGGAAGGUGCUUUCCCUCAGGGUUCUAGAAGCAUCAGGAAAAGGAAAGUAGAAGAGAACUUUCACACUGUUUUGGCUGGAGGCAACAACAACCC
ensembl:lncRNA